UAGGAAAGAAAUCGUUAAGGGCGUAUGGCGGAUGCCUAGGCUUUCAGAGGCGACGAAGGACGUGGUAAGCUGCGAAAAGCUGCGGGGAUUGGCACACACGAAUUGAUCCGCAGAUAUCCGAAUGGGGCAACCCGGCAUAUUGAAGAUAUGUCACCUCGCAAGAGGAGCAAACCCGGAGAACUGAAACAUCUAAGUACCCGGAGGAAAAGAAAUCGAAGAGAUUCCGUAAGUAGUGGCGAGCGAAAGCGGAUUAGCCCAAAAGUCUUUUUAUGUUUAGAGGAAUGUUCUGGAAAGAACAAUCAUAGAAGGUGAUAAUCCUGUACUCGAAAGGCAUAUAGAGAUGAUAAAUGAGUAGGGCGGGACACGUGAAAUCCUGUCUGAAUAUGGGGGGACCAUCCUCCAAGGCUAAAUACUCCUGAAAGACCGAUAGUGAACAAGUACUGUGAAGGAAAGGUGAAAAGCACUUCGAAUAGAAGGGUGAAAUAGAACCUGAAACCGUACGCCUACAAGCGGUCGGAGCAGCGUAAUGCUGUGACGGCGUGCCUUUUGCAUAAUGAGCCUACGAGUUAAUUUUACUAGCGAGGUUAAGGUAUUAAGUACCGGAGCCGGAGCGAAAGCGAGUCUGAAUAGGGCGCAUAGUUAGUAGGAUUAGACGCGAAACCUUGUGAUCUACCCAUGGGCAGGUUGAAGCUCUGGUAACACAGAGUGGAGGACCGAACCGGUUGACGUUGAAAAGUCUUCGGAUGACCUGUGGGUAGGGGUGAAAGGCCAAUCAAACUGGGAGAUAGCUCGUACUCUCCGAAAUGCAUUUAGGUGCAGCGUCGUAUAUAAGUUUAUUAGAGGUAGAGCUACUGAUUGGAUGCGGGGGUUUCAUCGCCUACCAAUUCCUGACAAACUCCGAAUGCUAAUAAAUGUUCUACGGCAGUGAGGGCAUGGGUGCUAAGGUCCAUGUCCGAGAGGGAAAGAACCCAGACCAACAGCUAAGGUCCCCAAAUAUAUGUUAAGUUGAAGCAACGCGGUUGGACUGCAUUGACAGCUAGGAUGUUGGCUUGGAAGCAGCCAUUCAUUUAAAGAGUGCGUAACAGCUCACUAGUCGAGCGGUCCGGCAUGGAUAAUAAUCGGGCAUAAACAUAUUACCGAAGCUAUGGAUUUAUAUUUUAGAUAUAUCUGGUAGGAGAGCAUUCUAUUUGCGCCGAAGCAGUACUGUGAGGUAUUGUGGAGCGGAUAGAAAAGAAAAUGUAGGCAUAAGUAACGAUAAAGCAGGCGAGAAACCUGCUCACCGAAAGACCAAGGCUUCCUCAGCCAUGCUAAUCAGCUGAGGGUUAGUCGGGACCUAACGCGAACCCGAAAGGGGUAGUGGAUGGACAAUGGGUUAAUAUUCCCAUACUUGCUCACAAUAAAAGGGGACGGUUGGAUGUAGCUGCUGGAGACUGACGGAAUAGUCAAGGCCUAGCCUUCGGGCGAAGCUGCUGUAGUGUAAUCUGAUCCAAGAAAAGCCGAAGUGAAGCAACCCGUACCAAAACCGACACAGGUGGUCGAGGAGAGAAUCCUAAGGUGCUCGAGUGAGUCGUGGCUAAGGAACUAGGCAAAAUAGUCUCGUAACUUCGGAAGAAGAGACGCCAACAGCAAUGUUGGCCGCAGUGAAGAGGCCCAGGCGACUGUUUAUCAAAAACACAGGACUCUGCUAAAUCGAAAGAUGCUGUAUAGGGUCUGACACCUGCCCGGUGCUGGAAGGUUAAGGAAGGUGCUUAGCGUAAGCGAAGGCAUUAACUGAAGCCCCAGUAAACGGCGGCCGUAACUAUAACGGUCCUAAGGUAGCGAAAUUCCUUGUCGGGUAAGUUCCGACCUGCACGAAUGGUGUAACGAUCUGGGCACUGUCUCAGCCACGAGCUCGGUGAAAUUGUAGUAUCGGUGAAGAUGCCGAUUACCCGCAAUGGGACGAAAAGACCCUGUGAACCUUUACUAUAACUUCGUAUUGACUUUGAGUAAGUAAUGUGUAGGAUAGGUGGGAGGCUUUGAAGCAGGCACGCUAGUGUUUGUGGAGCCGACGUUGAAAUACCACCCUUUACUUACUUGGAGCCUAACUUCUUUCAGAAGGACAUUGCGUGGUGGGUAGUUUGACUGGGGUGGUCGCCUCCAAAAGAGUAACGGAGGCUUUCAAAGGUACCCUCAGCACGCUUGGUAACCGUGCGUAGAGUGUAAUGGCAUAAGGGUGCUUGACUGUGAGACCUACAAGUCGAUCAGGUGCGAAAGCAGGACAUAGUGAUCCGGUGGUUCCGUAUGGAAGGGCCAUCGCUCAUAGGAUAAAAGGUACUCCGGGGAUAACAGGCUAGUCUCCCCCAAGAGCUCACAUCGACGGGGAGGUUCGGCACCUCGAUGUCGGCUCGUCACAUCCUGGGGCUGGAGAAGGUCCCAAGGGUUGGGCUGUUCGCCCAUUAAAGUGGCACGCGAGCUGGGUUCAGAACGUCGUGAGACAGUUCGGUCUCUAUCUAUUGCGGGCGUUAGAUGUUUGAGAGGGCUUGAUUCUAGUACGAGAGGACCGAAUUGAACAAACCUCUGGUGUAUCAGUUGUACCGCCAGGUGCACCGCUGAGUAGCUACGUUUGGAAGAGAUAAGCACUGAAAGCAUAUAAGUGCGAAACUCGCCUCAAGAUGAGACAUCUUUUAAGGGUCGUUGUAGAUGACGACGUUGAUAGGCUAUAGGUGUAAAGACAGUAAUGUCAUAGCCAAGUAGUACUAAUUACCCGUAGAUUUAUAGU
rnacentral:rRNA from 1 species